AUGGCCCACAUAUCAGAUAUUAAACUGAUAAGAACAGAUACUACACUUGAUCUUAGCCAAAAGGCCGAGAAAGGUAUGAGUUGCUACCCACGCCACCCCCUCCUUCUUAUAGCCUCGCCGACCCCCUCAAUCCCUCCCGCUGCGCGAUGUGGGACUAAAUGA
rnacentral:rRNA from 1 species